ensembl:snRNA U6 U6 spliceosomal RNA
GUGCUCGCUUCAGCAGCACAUAUACUAAAAUUGGAAUGAUACAGAGAAGAUUAGCAUGGCUCCUGUGCAAGGAUGAUGUGCAAAUUCAUGAAGCAUUCCAUAUUUUU